UCGGGAAUUUUGGGCAAUGGGCGAAAGCCUGACCCAGCAACGCCGCGUGAAGGAUGAAGUAUUUCGGUAUGUAAACUUCGAAAGAAUAGGAAGAAUAAAUGACGGUACUAUUUAUAAGGUCCGGCUAACUACGUGCCAGCAGCCGCGGUAAUACGUAGGGACCAAGCGUUGUUCGGAUUUACUGGGCGUAAAGGGCGCGUAGGCGGCAAUUCAAGUCAUCUGUGAAAUCUCCGGGCUUAACUCGGAACGGUCAGAUGAUACUGCUUUGCUAGAGUGCAGAAGGGGCAAUCGGAAUUCUUGGUGUAGCGGUGAAAUGCGUAGAUAUCAAGAGGAACACCUGAGGUGAAGACGGGUUGCUGGGCUGACACUGACGCUGAGGCGCGAAAGCCAGGGGAGCAAACGGGAUUAGAUACCCGGGUGUCCCUGAGCGGGCUGGCAAGGCGCAU
rnacentral:rRNA from 1 species